rfam:Gossypium arboreum cultivar AKA8401 contig_1494_3, whole genome shotgun sequence.
UGUUAAAAAUUUCAAUCAUUUUUACUAUUAAAAACUAGCAUGACUGAUAAAAUAACCAAACUGUUAUGCACAGGAACCAGUUUUUAACAGUAGAAAUAGAUGAAAAUUUUAACA